AACAAGGAAACACCUGCUAAGAGUUGAAAGCAAGUGGAUCUCCUGUAAAAGGCUGGCACUGGAGCUGCCAUGAGAUGGCACUGUGACAUCAGGCAUGGAGCUGAGCCGCUCCAUCCCGCGUGGUGUGCGGGGAAGCACCCUCCUGGAGGGAGAAAAAAUGCCAAGGAAGAGAAAGGACUUAUAAAUGAGCUGGUUUUGAUGUUAAGACAGGGCCUUGUGUGGAUCUGACUCUUGGAAAGUAAACAGCAGCAUAUCAAAUGCAUCUCUGCACUCAGAAGGUAAGAGUGGGAUGAGUCUCCUACAGUACUGACAAGGUCAGGAAUAAUUCUGGAAGAAACCAGCAAAACCCAUACAGGUGAGUGUGCUGGGGGUAGUGAUGCCCUUUUCCUGCCACACAGCACGAGGAGGGCUUCAUAACUGGGUUAGCUGCUGGUGUUAAUUACCCUCUGUGCUGCCCAGCACAGGUGUCCCUGAACCUCACACAGCAUGGCUGUGCCACCCAAAACAUCUGCCAAGGGGUGCUCACACAAACCACCCUAAGGACCUGCGUUCCCUGGGCUCCAGAGAGGAAAAGUGCUUUGCUGCUUUCCUGCCUCCGUUGCACGUUGGACGUCGGAACAUCGUUACUCACGGCCGGCUCGUCAGGAUCUAUUUCACUCGAUUGUCCUCUAAAAAUGGUGUGCAGGAUGCUUCAAGAACCAACCUGGGGCUGCAAGGGCUGAGGGAACACUGGGAUGUCUGAAUUUACCUUUAAGCCACUCUCAGGUAGCUAACUCUGCAGUGAAGAUGCCCCAGGGCAAUGAGCUGUGGUCCUGCUGUCCCCAUCGAUGACGGCGGCCACGCACUUGUGCCGGAAGGAUGAAUGUGAUGCAUUUGGAGAGCACAUCACCCCGCUGGAUUGGAGCAGGUGGAAGUGAAAUGAGUGGUUAAAUAAAUACGGUGGCCGCCUGCACACAAUGUGACAGUA